UCUCACCUGUAUGAUUACAAGUGCCGAUUGUUUCAUUAAGUAGCUUGUGUUUACCGUCAUACGUCAGCGGGCCUGGAAGUGGUUGCCGUUGGUGCGCAUCGAGUUGAAGUCAAUCUUUUAUUGCCUUUCAAGUGUGCCGUUUUUUUUAUUUCCAAGUAGUUUCACUACACAUCGCUACAUCGCUUCAACGUGAGAGGUUCGUCGCUUGUGUCCUCGCUUAAAUCACGAGCUCUCUUCCGUGUCGAUGCUCAUCUUCAAGGUGGAACUGCGCGGAAGCCAAACACAACGGCUCGAGUCAGCAUAAAACUCAUCCCCACACACCGGACGGAAGAAGAAUCUGCAAUGGAUGUGAUCAUCCGCCGUCGGUUUGUCAAGAGCAAACCGGUUCACACUCUCUCAAACACACGACGGUUUCGACAGUUAAUUGAGCCAGCGCUCGAUCGUUUACGGUUCCGUUUCAACACGAACUGUUGACGGCGUUGACCUUGAUCUUGAACCGCGACUUAGGUCGAGUCGUGAGCGUGUCUGAUGCAGUUCUGUAAUGUGUCUCUCUGCUGUUGCUUCGUGUGUGUGUGUGUGCGUCCGUGUGGGUGUAAUAAAUUAAACAAAAUUUGAUCCUAGCUCGUUACAUUACACGGAAAACCCCAGCACGUGCACUUACGAAACAAAAAUAAAUUAUAUUCAUUAUGAGCUAAUUAAA